CUAGUACUCCCUCCGUCCAAAAAUACUUGUCAUUGAAAUGGAUGUAUCUAGAUGUAUUUUAGUUGUAGAUACAUCCAUUUUCAUCCAUUUUGAUGACAAGUAUUUCUGGACGGAGGGAGUACAAA
rnacentral:pre_miRNA from 1 species